GCCUUCUUGGUGUAGUGGUCAGCACGCUCGACGCGUAACCCAGAGGUCCGUGGUUCGAUUCCCGGCGAAGGCG
rnacentral:tRNA from 1 species